AUUCCGUGACGAGGGCACUUCCGUAAUAAUUCUUUGUACCUUUCCCCUGCCUCAUACAAGGAUUCAUCAUCCAUUUGUUGGAAACCAGUAUUCUCAUUCCUCAACUU
rfam:Gossypium raimondii Chr10_contig_474, whole genome shotgun sequence.